UGGAGUUUUUAUUUAAUUUAACGGGUUUUCUCUAAGUCUUCAUCAUUACGUUGGGCCCGUUACAGACGUAUACGAAAAAAAAUUAAGAAUAGGAUAUGAAACAUUGUAUUAUACGUGAAUGGAUAAAGUGAAGAGAAUCGUCAGGUAUUUUAUUUUACAAGAAAAUUCCAAUGAUACUUAAAGGUAAAUUUCAUAAGAGUAUGAUGAAACCGACUAUUUUUUAUGAUUAAGAAGUUAGGCGGUAGACAGAAAAAAAGAAAACAAAGAAUAAUUGAUUCACAGAUGAUAAUAUUUAGGCGGAGGGGUGAAGUGACUAAAACGGUAAGAUAAUGAAUGUUUAAGAAGUAGAUUAAGCAUAAUGAGAGAAGAAUCAGAAGCAUUAAGAAUGAUAAUGAAAAUAAACGUAGGAGGAAAGACAAGAAGAGAUAGAUAAAAUAAAAUAUGUUAUUCGAUGUGGUUGAGAAUCAUUUAAGGACACUCAAAGGAUAGCUACUAACCAGUGUAUGCGAAGUGAGAGGUUUGGUCAAAGAAAAGUUUAAGAGGAGAGUGGCCGUGAAUUGUAGGCAAAGGAGAAGAAAACGAAUUAUCAAUUAUGAUCUCCGCACCAGGAUUUCUGCCUAACUUAAAUAAUUAUACACAUUUCAAUUAUACACAUAACUUGUAUUAUAACGCCAGCAGUACACUUAUUGUAAUAAAAAUAAACAUGAUGAUAAUGAGUGCUAUAAAACUAAUAUGUUUUCGGGAGACCUUUCCUUGACAAACGCAUCGCACGGAGGUGUUCAGUAAAUUAAAUCACCCACUUCUCCUUGGAAAUAUAAAACCUAUUUAUACUAUUGCUAUACAAAGCCUACAACAAUAGAUGGUGAAUGGUUUUUAUAUACAAUGUGAAUUGCUAUAAAGUAUAAA